GGUGCAGGCGGCCUGUCAAGUCGGAUGUGAAAUCUCCCGGCUCAACCGGGAGGGUGCAUUCGAAACUGAUGGGCUAGAGUGCAGCAGAGGGAGAUGGAAUUCCCGGUGUAGUGGUGAAAUGCGUAGAUAUCGGGAAGAACACUAGUGGCGAAGGCGGUCUCCUGGGCUGUAACUGACGCUGAGGCCCGAAGGCGUGGGGAGCAAACAGGAUUAGAUACCCUGGUAGUCCACGCAGUAAACGAUGGAUACUAGGUAUGGGGAGUAUCGACCCUCUCCGUGCCGAAGCUAACGCUUUAAGUAUCCCGCCUGGGGACUACGGUCGCAAGACUAAA
rnacentral:rRNA from 1 species